AUUAGGGUUAGCCGGCUAGGGAUCCCUCGUCUUCGUCUCUGAAUUAUUUGUUCUUGCAUGGCUAAUUGGAAGGAGAGGGAGAGCUUCUUGCACCAGCUCACAUCACUGAACUUCUUCAAGUAGAGAAGAUAAAACAGAUUACAGAUUACUCUGUGUUUAUUUUCAGAGAUGAGGACUUUUUUGGUUAAUAGAGCAAGCACUGAAAAUGUGAACAGUGUGCAACCGGACAUAGAACUGGAGGCACACCCACCUCCUAGCAUUGUCAAUGAGGAGGUUUUCUACUUGUGAUGAUGUUCAAAGUAUGGCCAUGAAGAUGGUUGAAACUGAGAAACAUUUCGUAUUUUCACUGGUAUACAAACUUAUUGAGUUGGCCUUGAUAUUGCCGGCAUCAACGGUAUCUGUUGAGAGAGAUUUUUCAGGAAUGAAGAUUAUCAAGACUAAACUGCGUAGCAAGAUCAAUAAUGAAUGGUUUAAUGACUUUUUGAGAUGUUACACCGAGCGGGAGUUAUUCAAGUCAGUUGAUGAUAAGGAUAUUAUUCAAACAUUUACUGCAAUGAGCUCUCGGAAGGGGUAUUUGCCUCAUGAUUUGGUUUAGUGGAGUGUCGUGCCUUCUACAACUUUGGCAACAUGGCGAGUUUGCCUAUAUACAAAGGCUGAUCGUAUGUCUUUAUUUUGGCCAAAAUGGACGAGUAAGAGAUGCUUUCCUUUUGUUCACAUGUCUCAACUUUAUUUGGUUUAUGAAGCGG